GCGGCCGCGCGGGAGGAGGCGGGCGCAGGCGGCCGAAGGGCGGGCGGGAGGAGGUGGCCUCCGCCGCGGGCUCGCGCCCUCCCCCCGGCGUGCGUCGGCGGGAUUGUGAGCUCGUGGGCCCACGGUGAUGAGGGCUGAGUCCGGGACCCGGGAUUGUGAUGUCUCAGGAGGCGGUGGGCGAGUGACGCAGCCCGGGCCUAAGGACCCAGUCCCCGGGGGCCCUGACUCUAGACCCUGAACCUCGCUCUUGUGGCGAGUACGAUAGACACCAGCCCAACCGCAGGUCUCUGGCCACCUGCUGGAAAGCAGCUCUGCUGGGAGGGACAGUGCCCCGGCCUGUCACUGACUCCUGGAGGCCUGGACAGUGUCGAUGGCCUGGUGGGGCAAGCUCAAGUGUGGUUGGAGGUGGGCCCCUGGGAGACAGCUUUCCCAUGGUUUGAAAAUUGGAAGCCGUUCCAGUCUCCUUGUGACCCCAGGAGCUGGGAGAAGCAAGAAACAUCCAAGGAGCUGGGGUGCCUCCAUGUCCUGCCAGCCAACUCUCCAAGUGUCCUCCGACGUCACUGUGCAAAGACAGGCCUUUCGGCUCCUGUGGAACUUUUGGGAAGUCCCGGAUCUUGUUUGGGGCCCGCAACGCCUGUGUCUCUGGAAAGAGGAUCGCCUGCUGACCUGGAAGUUGCCCAAGGUGGAGAAAUGACUGCGGGGUGUAAGGUCCCAGCCACCAGCUCCACCAUCAGUGCGUUGUCCCCUGCUGGACACUGAGGUUGUACAGAAAAUGGCUUUCAGAUGGCACAUCCAGAGAGGGUGCCAGUGAAUGGGGUGCAUGGGACUAGCGAGUGCAGAGCCCAAGGAAGCUGAGGGUAUGCUAGGGGCCUUCUCCCGGAAGUAGCGACAGCGAGAAUUGCUGGCCAAGAUGAGCUCCAGAAAGGGGAUGGUCAACUUGAAGGAGGAGCUGGGUGGCGGCAGAGGUCAGCACAGGUCCCUGGGGACUGACCUGGGGGCUGAGGCUGGGGAGGAGCAGAGCUCCUGGGGCCUGCACAGGAUCGCAGGUCGGGUUGGGGCUGGGAACCUGCCUGGUCCCUACCUUUGUUCAUAAUGGCAUGGUGAUUUCACCCUCCAGGAGCCAGUCUGCCUCUGCCUCAUGAGAGGCCAGCGUGGGUAGCGGCCAGGCAUCAGUUGGCUCCAUCUGCUAGACAUGGCACUUCCUGAGGUGGUAGACGCAUUGCCCAAGCUGUGACUGACAGCUUCUGGGUGUUGAGGACGGAUGUCAUGACUGUGUGUCUCAUGCAGACUGGAAAGAAUGUCAGGUGGUUUUUCAGAGUGUGAUCAGGAGGGUGGUGCCAACAGGUACUUUGGAAUUUACUGACUUGGGGCGCACCAGCUCCCUGUGCACCUCCUCACCAUCCUGGGCUCCCACGCGACUCAGUGACAGAGGCUCCAGAUCUACACCAGUGCUACAGUUUGUAUGUGAUUUGAACCCAAGGUUCAUGUGUUGGGUUCCCUAAGUAGUGAUCAGGAGACCAUGGGAUACUUAAAAGGCAAGGCCUCCUGGGCCAUCUCAGGUCUGCUUGGGCAUUCACCUUGGAAGACAGGAAGGUGGUUCUCAUGGGACGCUACUUUCCCUUGCAAGAAUGAAUAUGAUAUAGAAAGACCAAGCAUCACUGAUUCUUCUUCCUGGUUUCCUGGCUCACACAUGAUUGUCCUAUCACAGGUGUUCCUGCAGGGAUGCCAGCCACUGUGAUGUAAUUCAGCCAGGAGGCCUUUGCCGUUUGGAUGUUAAGCCUCAAAAACUGUGAGCCAAAUAAGCCUUUUUUGUUCAUAAAUCCCCAGCUUCUGAUGCUUAUAGUCACAGAACAUAGACGAAUAUAGCAGAUCAUCUCCAGGUCAAGGUCUGCUUGAUGUGUUUCCCUUGAAUGCCAUGUCCUGCUUCCUGCGCUCCCCUGUACCUAGCGUGUUCCUUGUCCCUCACAAGCACCUCAGGAGAACUUCUCCAAAACCCCUGGGCCCACAAAUGCCCCCCAGUGGCACUACUGUAGUAUUAGGUACAAUCUCAUAAGACUCCCAAACCUUGCAGUCCUGGGUCCACCUUGCAUGUGGUGUGUACUGACUGUUUCCCUGUAGGCUUGAAAGCCAUGCAUACAAGGCCAUUGCUUAUUCAUUUCCCCAUCUGUGCUCCGGAGAGCCUGUGCAGAGCGAUGCCCCCGUAAUGAACCAUUGCAUGAAUGAAUGAUCUUAGUUAGGACCGUAAGAGAACUUAGAGAGCAGGAGCCCAAAAUGAGCACCAGCUGACCCUCGUGUCCCAGGGCCAAUUCCAUGUCUGUGGAAGUGGUCAAGAAAUGUUUGCAAUGGGCAAAGCGCCCACCGAGGCAGGUGAGGGCAAAUGUGUCCUGGUACCCCUACAGGGAGGGGUAUGUGACUCUCAGACUUGGCAAUGUGACUUCUUUGUGAAUGAACAGCGUUCUUUGGCUUUUACACUUUUGGGGGGAAGGAAAAAUACUCUGCCCCAGGGCUUGGCUUAUGGGAGGGAGUUUCAGACACCAUGCUUGCAUGCAGAGUUGCCUGGUUCUUCUAGAAUCCUUGACCUUGUUUCAAUCUGAUUUCUGCUAAAAGGAUUUGGAGUCGGAGAUUGAAUGGACCUCAGGCUGCAGUGAAUGCAACACUCCUCCCGAGUAAGGGCUUCAGAAACUCCUGGCCCCCGUCACCCUCCUGCCUCUGCGUACAGGACUGCCGAGUUCAGGCAGGACGCCCAGGGAGAGGCUGACACCUCUGCCUCCCAAGCCCGCUGUGGGAGUAGGAACAACCCAAGGACCCUGUGGGACAUUGGAGAGAGGCUGAGACACCCAGAAGCCAUCACAAGAUGGGGGCUCCUGAUGCAGGGUGCAGUGGUCGGAAGGGGAGGUUCGCUCCUUUGAACCCUGUGGCCCUCGGAUACAGUCCUGACCUCGUUAUCCACUGUUAAGUGGGGUGUCUGACUCCUCCCGGGAGGACUAGAUGCAGAGACCAGCAGAUAGGGAACCCAUGCUUCGGCCAAGGUCAGAUCAUUUUGAAGGCACAAAAUGAACCCACCUUUAGAGGAAAAGCUGCUCCUGAACCCGGGGCUACUGUCAUGUGAAAGAGGAAUGUAUUCACUGAGAUUUUAUUAAUUUUUAUAGUGUGGAGGUGUUGGGAAGUGAUUUAAAAAUUCUGCUUUCUGAAGUAGAUGUCAGGCACCGGAUGCCCCAAUUUCCACAAAUAAAACCCUUCAUCUCGCCCAGGUUUGAAUAGUCAAAGGCUGCCUCCCCCAAGACAGCACAGCUAAUAUUUCUGGUUGACAUCAGAACUCUAUUUAAAGAGUAUACCUUUACCACAGAAGCAAAUGAUAAACUUUUUGCACAAUUAUGAGUGAGAUGCAGGAGAGCGAGGAGACUAUGUGGAAAGAGAUUACCUAGCCGGGCAUGGUGCUGCACACCAGUAAUCCCAGCACUCAGGAGGCUGAGGUGGGAAGAUCAUGGUGAGUUCAAAACCAGGCUGGGUUACAAAAUAAGCUUACGGCCAGCCUGAACUGCAUAGCGAGACCUGGUCUAAAAAAAAAGACAAAACAACAAAGAGAGAGAUUAUCUAGAUGGGCUGCUUGUGGACAUGCAUACAUGUUUUUCACCUUUUGAAAUCAAAAGCAGACUUGCCUGCUGAAAGUCUGGAGGGUGGUUUAAAAGUCAGCUCAUGGUGCAAAUAAAAUCCCCGGCCUCGAGUUGACACAGCAGCACCCCGGUUUUAAGUGUGCACCUAUUGUCUUCCUGGGCCACUGACAUGAAGAACUCACUGCUUUCCAAGGGCCAUGCCCCUGCUUUGAAUUUGUUACUCCCCUUAUGCCUGUGAUCCUUUGGCGUGUAGGAGCUGUUAUCAUUCUGAUGUUUCCUGGUGAGGAAACCGAGAGGAGAAGAGUUCAGUACCAACCACAAGGUCGCAUCCGCUGGAGGGGACUCGGGCUCUAAGACUGCACAGAAGCCAGGACUUUCUGCUCCACGGCCUUUGGCACUUUGAACAGGCGUUAGUCACUCAGCAGACAUGCCCCCAUGAGCAGCUCCCGGGAAGGGUUCCGCCCCUGUGCUGGCCUUGGGUGAACCAGACCAGGACCACUAGAGCCAGCGUACCUGGCCGGCCAGGAGCUCCCCACUGCCCCUCCUGGGCCCUGAAUAGCCUUGAAGGAACGCAGCAAGCUGAGCUGGCAAACACGGGAGGGAGAGCGCAUCACCCAGGGCGCCCCCACUCUUGGCAUUCUAGCCCAGGCGCUGAGGAGAGCUCCGGGGCAACCCAGCCCCAGGAACCAUCUGACGGGAAAAGCACAAGAGAUGCCCCCAAAUUGUGGAAGCGCGCGUAUUGCCAUUGUAAGCCGCAUCUCCACAGUGCUGGCCACCAGCCCCGCAUAUGCUCUGCUCGGCCCCUGGGCCUCCUGGUGCUGGCUGCCCCAGGUCUGUCAAAGGUCCCAUGCCUACCUGUCCCAUCUCCCCUGCGAUCUUCACGUGUCACCAGGGCAUGCCACACUCUAGCUUCCCAACUUCCCUAAGUGUCCCCGGGCUCUACAAACUUUGAGCCCUUUCUCUUGUUCAUCCCCUCCUCUUCCACACCCCCAACCCUCUCAGUUCCUCAAAAGCCACUUUACAAACCCCAUAAUCCAACAUUUCUGCUGCAGGCUGGAUCGGAAGCACCCUGGAGGGUUCCUCCGAGAGAAUUCACGGCAGUGUUGUUCUCCAGAGCUCAGACAACCCCGAGCCAUCACAAGGGGGAUGGGUAUGCACUGGAUGACUCACCCAGGAGAAUGAGGGGAACCAGGGAGUCUCAGGACCAUAGCAUGUGGGGAAGAAGCCAGAUGCAAAGCGUGUACCAGAUGGCGGCACAGCUCUGGCAGAGUAUUGUCUCACAUGCACGAAACCCUGGGUACGGAGCCUCAGCUCUGCCAGGGGUGGUGCAUACUAUAGGAUCCUGUUAAUAAAAAUUCAAAUGCAGACAAUGGAGAGUGAUCAGAGCUGAAUGGUUUUCAGCUUUGCUUCUUACAUGGAUCUGAUCACAUGUGUGUUUAUUCAUGGUGGUUCGCCAAUUUGUCUAUUUUCUCAGUGGACAUUUAAAGUAUUAAAGCACUGUUCAACCUACUGCUAAAUGGCUUUUGAACCUCCCUUCCCUCUACCAGACAUUCCCUGCCUUCUCUUAGUCUUUCUCUAGUUAACUUUUAGAGGUCAUUCAGUCUUCCCUUCCCCAGGAACUCUUUCCCUAUUUUAUCAGUCAGCCUCAGCUGUGUAACAAGCAUGCCCCCGUUAUGGAUUGAGAACUGGUGGCCAACUUAAUGCCAGCUGGAUUACAUCAGCAUGGCACUGAGCAUAGAUGCUCCACCUGAGGAAAGUUGCCAGCAUAAAAAGAGAGGUGGAGAAGGAGAAGGGAGGCAUUAAUGCGUUAUUGCGUUGCAUUGAGGCAUUAAGGCAUUGUGGGUUCUCCUAUGUGUUGCUUUUUGAGCCAUUAGGUCUGGAGAAGCUUUAGUCCUCAUAUCGAGCAUUGCUUCCUGGCUCCCAGGGGGAAAACGUGUGCCACUUGGUCUCCAGGAUGAACUGGUUAUGCUGGCUUCCUGGCACGUACCCGACUGUGCUUAUCGUCAGAGGAGCUCAGGGCCUCCAUGUCACUGAGGAUGGCUGUGGUGCUUUUCAGGACAGCCCUGGUCUUUAUUAUGAGCAUGACCUCUCAGCUCCAGCAUAGAACCUUCAUCCCACCAGCACAGCUCCUCAACCCCGCUGGCAUGGACUUUCUGGCUUCUACUGCUGACCUUUGGGCCUUCCGGGCACGGAUCCAUAAAGAGACUGGCAUGAGUCAUCCUUGUGGGCUCUGGACCUCCAGUUGGACUUGUGGGAGGCAUUGUCCUGAGCUCUGGGUUUUUAUCUGGACUUGUGGGACAUUGCUGUGGUAUUCAGGCCCUUGACUAAAUAUUCUGUCUUUGGUAUUGCAGAUUUCCUGGAUUUUCUUGUGUUAACUCCUGGUAACCAUUAUAAAAAUGAUAAUAUAUACUCCA